ncrna:unclassified sequences RT-17 RNA
GGCCUCGCCCGACGGCGGAAAAUAAACUAAACGAAAGAUGCUGGUAGAUCGUAAAUUGUACGAGCCGAACGCGUGAUAAGUAAAAAAGCAGACAA